UCACAAAACGCACAAUGCAUACGUUCAAAGAAAAGGAAAGAAACGACGAGAAGCAGAGGGGAAACGGGAAGAAGAAGAGAAGCGGAGAGGAAGGGAGUCGUCGCGCCUUGCCAGCUCAUCGCCGCGCCUUGCCCGCUCGUCGCCGCGCCUUGCCCGCCCGUCGCGGCCGUUCCGUGGAGUCCGCCUUGGUCCCGAUUGAACAGGGAUGAAGGAGAGGCGUCGAGAGAGAGACGUGAUGGAGGUCAGAAGGAGGAGCUGCCAUCACUGCCGUCCCGUCCAUGGAGCCGCCUUCGCGUCGCCGUCGUGCUUCGAGGUCAUCGCUCUGUGUCACUGAGAGAAGCCCGAGAUGGAGAUGAGGGAGACGUGAGCCAAGGACUGCGACGAGGAGGAAAAGCCGCCGUCACCUUCACUAGAGCCGCGAUCGCUGUCACCGUUCUGCCUUUCCCUGAGCCGCUAAUACCACCAUAUUCUUCCAAUUCCAUUCCUGUUCCGUGAGAGUUGGCUACUGCAGUUUCUGUUUUGGGGUUUUCCACCAUUGAAGCUACCAUCAACAGCGCCACUCUCCAUUUUGAUUCCAAUUAUGUAAUUCGAAAACCUGUAAUGUUCUCUACCCUUAAUUUUGCUGCAUUUUGUUUAUCUCUGCAUUCUUAUUUUGAUUCCAUUAGUAAGCACCUCUGUCUUAGUAUCGCUGAGUUCUGCUUAAAUGGUUGAAAUUGUCACUGCUGCGGGCAUAAUCAAAGUUGGUGCCGCUGCUGGAGUUGGGUUUAAAGAAUAGUUGGAGGGCUGAAUACUUCUGCAAUAAAUAAUUCAUGUCAAUGCUAUUUCCUGUGCUUGCCAAAUUGGUUUUGUUGAUAAACAGUUGUUGAGUUUAUUUGCAUGUUUCUAGGCUCAACGUGCAGGUUGCCUGUUGAAGAAAAUACUGCAAGUCAUUGGGUUGCGUGUUUCACAUCAAGCAGAAAGCAUAAAAAAUCAAAACAAUAUUUUCAAGGCUCGUGAGGAGAAGUACCAAUCAAGAAUAAAUGCACUUGAAACUCUUGCGGCUGGGGCCACUGAAGAGAAUAAGGUAGUUUCUUUGUUGAUUGAGCUGGGGGUGUGGAACUUUGCUAUAGGGAAUAGAAAUGCAUAUGAGUUCUGUUGCUGAGAAGAUCUGUGAUCUGGUUGCUGUUGCUAGGUUUUUAAAUGCAACUCUCAUAAUUCCUGAAAUUCAAGAAAGUACUCGCUCAAAAGGAAUUAGGUAUAUGUGGCUAAGUAUCUGCUUUCAUUAUCGUGCC